rnacentral:tRNA from 2 species
GGCUCUUUAGCUGAGAUGGAUUAGCGCGUGUCUGAAGAACACGAGAGGUAUUAGGGUUCGAUUCCCACAGGAGCCAC